GCGCGCUCGGGAUCUAUUCACAUCCCUUCAAUGGCCCUGUCUCUCUGACAGGGCCAUUGAAGGGAUGUGAAUAGAUCCCGAGCGCGCAGCCCGU
rnacentral:miRNA from 1 species